rnacentral:tRNA from 1 species
GACUAAUUUAGGAUAUAAGCCGCUAACUUAUAAUGAGCCCUUGAUGGGGUUGGUAGUCU